rnacentral:tRNA from 1 species
UCCGUGGAGGACUAGUGGUUAGGUCCCAGCACUCUUACCACUGUGGCUUGUGUUCGAUUCCCGGCCAGCGAA